AGUCCCGUACACCAAAAUGCACAGGUUGUGAACUCGAAGAGUAGGGCGGGACACGUGGUAUCCUGUCUGAAUAUGGGGGGACCAUCCUCCAAGGCUAAAUACUCCUGACUGACCGAUAGUGAACCAGUACCGUGAGGGAAAGGCGAAAAGAACCCCGGCGAGGGGAGUGAAAAAGAACCUGAAACCGUGUACGUACAAGCAGUGGGAGCACCUUCGGGUGUGACUGCGUACCUUUUGUAUAAUGGGUCAGCGACUUAUAUUCUGUAGCAAGGUUAACCGUAUAGGGGAGCCGCAGGGAAACCGAGUCUUAACUGGGCGUUAAGUUGCAGGGUAUAGACCCGAAACCCGGUGAUCU
rnacentral:rRNA from 1 species